GAUGAACGCUGGCGGCGUGCCUAAUACAUGCAAGUCGAGCGAACAGACGAGGAGCUUGCUCCUUCGACGUUAGCGGCGGACGGGUGAGUAACACGUAGGUAGCCUACCUAUAAGACUGGGAUAACUUCGGGAAACCGGAGCUAAUACCGGAUAAUAUUUCGAACCGCAUGGUUCGAUAGUGAAAGAUGGCUUUGCUAUCACUUAUAGAUGGACCUGCGCCGUAUUAGCUAGUUGGUAAGGUAACGGCUUACCAAGGCAACGAUACGUAGCCGACCUGAGAGGGUGAUCGGCCACACUGGAACUGAGACACGGUCCAGACUCCUACGGGAGGCAGCAGUAGGGAAUCUUCCGCAAUGGGCGAAAGCCUGACGGAGCAACGCCGCGUGAGUGAUGAAGGUCUUCGGAUCGUAAAACUCUGUUAUUAGGGAAGAACAAACGUGUAAGUAACUGUGCACGUCUUGACGGUACCUAAUCAGAAAGCCACGGCUAACUACGU
rnacentral:rRNA from 1 species